GUUGUCAUAGCAAGAGGGAAACGCCCGGUCCCAUUUCGAACCCGGAAGCUAAGCCUCUUUGCGCUGAUGGUACUGCACUCGGGAGGGUGUGGGAGAGUAGGACGCA
rnacentral:rRNA from 1 species